rnacentral:rRNA from 1 species
UACGUAGGGUGCAAGCGUUGUCCGGAAUUAUUGGGCGUAAAGAGCUCGUAGGCGGUCUGUCACGUCGGCUGUGAAAACCCGAGGCUCAACCUCGGGCCUGCAGUCGAUACGGGCAGACUAGAGUUCGGUAGGGGAGACUGGAAUUCCUGGUGUAGCGGUGAAAUGCGCAGAUAUCAGGAGGAACACCAAUAGCGAAGGCAGCUCGCUGGGACGUUACUGACGCUGAGGCGCGAAAGCGUGGGGAGCGAACAGG